rnacentral:rRNA from 1 species
AUUGAACGCUGGCGGCAGGCCUAACACAUGCAAGUCGAGCGGCAGCGGAAAGUAGCUUGCUACUUUGCCGGCGAGCGGCGGACGGGUGAGUAAUGUCUGGGAAACUGCCUGAUGGAGGGGGAUAACUACUGGAAACGGUAGCUAAUACCGCAUAACGUCGCAAGACCAAAGAGGGGGACCUUCGGGCCACUUGCCAUCAGAUGUGCCCAGAUGGGAUUAGCUAGUAGGUGGGGUAAUGGCUCACCUAGGCGACGAUCCCUAGCUGGUCUGAGAGGAUGACCAGCCACACUGGAACUGAGACACGGUCCAGACUCCUACGGGAGGCAGCAGUGGGAAAUAUUGCACAAUGGGCGCAAGCCUGAUGCAGCCAUGCCGCGUGUAUGAAGAAGGCCUUCGAGUUGUAAAGUACUUUCAGCGGGGAGGAAGGUGUUGAGGUUAAUAACCUCAGCAAUUGACGUUACCCGCAGAAGAAGCACCGGCUAACUCCGUGCCAGCAGCCGCGGUAA